rnacentral:rRNA from 1 species
AGAGCAAACGGUGGAUGCCUUGGCAUCUGGAGCCGAAGAAGGACGUAUAAAUCUGCGAUAAGCCUCGGGGAGCUGAUAAUAGAGCUUUGAUCCGAGGAUCUCCGAAUGGGGAAACCCCGCCAGGCCCUUUGGGUGACCUGGUGACUCCCGCCUGAAUAUAUAGGGCGGGUAGAGGGAACGUGGGGAAGUGAAACAUCUCAGUACCCACAGGAAGAGAAAGCAAAAGCGAUUCCGUUAGUAGUGGCGAGCGAAACCGGAAGAGGCCAAACCGAUCAUGUGUGAUAUCCGGUAGGAGUUGCAUGGUCGGGGUUGCGGGACUUUCCGUACAGUUCUACCGAGCUGUGAGGGCAAUGAGCGCGAUAUAGACGAAUGGUCUUGAAAGGCCAGUCAUAGAGGGUGCGAACCCCGUAGUCGAAAUAUCGUCGCCUGUCCGGAGAGUAUCCCAAGUAGCACGGGGCCCGAGAAAUCCCGUGUGAAUCUGUCAGGACCACCUGAUAAGCCUAAAUACUCCCAGAUGACCGAUAGCGGACAAGUACCGUGAGGGAAAGGUGAAAAGUACCCCGGGAGGGGAGUGAAAUAGUACCUGAAACCGUUUGCUUACAAACCGUUGGAGCACCCUUGUUGGUGUGACAGCGUGCCUUUUGAAGAAUGAGCCUGCGAGUUAGUGAUAUGUGGCGAGGUUAACCCGUGAGGGGCAGCCGUAGCGAAAGCGAGUCUUAAUAGGGCGUAUGAGUCGCAUGUUCUAGACCCGAAGCGAAGUGAUCUAUCCAUGGCCAGGUUGAAGCGACGGUAAGACGUCGUGGAGGACCGAACCCACUUCAGUUGAAAAUGGAGGGGAUGAGCUGUGGAUAGGGGUGAAAGGCCAAUCAAACUUCGUGAUAGCUGGUUCUCUCCGAAAUGCAUUUAGGUGCAGCGUUGCGUGUUUCUUGCCGGAGGUAGAGCUACUGGAUGGACGAUGGGCCCCAAAAGGUUACUGACUUCAGCCAAACUCCGAAUGCCGGUAAGUGAGAGCGCAGCAGUGAGACGGUGGGGGAUAAGCUUCAUCGUCGAGAGGGAAACAACCCAGACCACCAUCUAAGGUCCCUAAGCGCGUGCUAAGUGGGAAAGGAUGUGGAGUUGCAUAGACAACCAGGAGGUUGGCUUAGAAGCAGCCACCCUUGAAAGAGUGCGUAAUAGCUCACUGGUCAAGUGAUUCCGCGCCGACAAUGUAACGGGGCUCAAGCACGCCACCGAAGUUGUGGCAUUUAUAUUAUAGGCAGGCCUUCGUGGUCCAGCCGUAUGGAUGGGUAGGAGAGCGUCGUGUGGCCAGCGAAGCGGCGGUGUGAACCAGCCGUGGAGGCCACACGAGUGAGAAUGCAGGCAUGAGUAGCGAAAGACGGGUGAGAAACCCGUCCUCCGAAAGACCAAGGGUUCCAGGGCCAGGCUAAUCCGCCCUGGGUAAGUCGGGACCUAAGGCGAGGCCGACAGGCGUAGUCGAUGGACAACGGGUUGAUAUUCCCGUACCGAUGAAGAACCGCCCAAGACAAUCCAGUAAUGCUAAGUGUCUGAAUCCUUGAUUCGAUCCCUUCGGGGUGACGGUCUUGGCCUAGCACACGACCCUACGCUGGGGCGUUUAGCGUAUUAACAGGUGUGACGCAGGAAGGUAGCUGAGCCGGGCGAUGGUUGUCCCGGUCUAAGGAUGUAGGGCAGAAGAUAGGCAAAUCCGUCUUCUAUGUAGCCUGAGACCCGAUGGGUAGUCCUCACGGACGAAAUCAGUGAUCCUAUGCUGCCAAGAAAAGCAUCGACGCGAGGUUCCAAUCGCCCGUACCCCAAACCGACUCAGGUGGUCAGGUAGAGAAUACUAAGGAGAUCGAGAGAAUCGUGGUUAAGGAACUCGGCAAAAUGCCCCCGUAACUUCGGGAGAAGGGGGGCCUGAGGCGUGUAGGGAUUUACUCCUGAAGCGUUUGAAGGCCGCAGAGACCAGUGGGAAGCGACUGUUUACUAAAAACACAGGUCCGUGCUAAGUCGCAAGACGAUGUAUACGGACUGACGCCUGCCCGGUGCUGGAAGGUUAAGAGGAACGGUUAGCACGCAAGUGCGAAGCUGAGAAUUUAAGCCCCAGUAAACGGCGGUGGUAACUAUAACCAUCCUAAGGUAGCGAAAUUCCUUGUCGGGUAAGUUCCGACCUGCACGAAUGGCGUAACGACUUCCCAGCUGUCUCAACCGCGAACUCGGCGAAAUUGCACUACGAGUAAAGAUGCUCGUUACGCGCAGCAGGACGGAAAGACCCCGUGACCUUUACUACAGCUUGGUAUUGGUGUUCGGUGUGGCUUGUGUAG